AGUUCGGUAGUAUAUAAUACAUUAGAUUGCAAACCUAAAGAAGGCGGAGUGAGACCUCCCCCCGGACUU
rnacentral:tRNA from 1 species